CACACACAACACACACACACACACACACACGCACGCACCCCCGCGCGCACACGCCCGCCCGCUCGCGCUGCCUCUGCGCCUCCAUCCCGGCUCGCUCAUUAUCUCGCCCUCUCGCUUCCCCUGCGGUCUCUCGCUCUGCGCGCACACACCACACACACGCACACGCACACACACGCGCGCACACACGCAGCCGGCACAGGCGGCGGCGGCGGCUGCCCAAGUCAGGACGAACCUAUCUAGGUACCGUCUUGAGAAGGCGGCAGCGGCGGCGGCGGCGGCGGCGGCGGCAGCCCGAGCAUCCCUCCUCUCCCGGAGAGGGAGCACCGCCGAGAGUUUCCGUUCCCUUUGCCAUUCCCUUCCCCCUCCUUUUCUUUUAUUUUCGAGAGAAUUUCUUCUUGGCUUAUUGGUUUAAUUUGAUUUUUAAAAUUUUGGGUUGCUUUUGUGUAUGUGUGCUUUUUUUUUCUUUCCUCAUUUUAUUUGCAUCCAGAGCAUGGCGGGCUGCGGGCUGUCGGAAGACACCCUCUUCUCUUCCUUCUUUUACAACUACGGCUCCUCCUGGGAAACCCCUUCCAACCAGGGUAUAAUAUCUCUGCAAAUACCUACUGGCCUAUGUUCUGUUGAGAUCUACAGAGAAAAAUCUUUCUUGUUCUAUUUACUGAACUACCUAACUUCAAAACAAGGAAUAAACCUGGACUCUAAACAGUAUCUCGGUCAGGCACGGUGGCUCACGCCUGUAAUCCCAGCACUUUGGGAGGCCAAGGCGGGUGGAUCACGAGGUCAAGAGAUCGAGACCAUCCUGGCUAACAUGGUUAAACCCCAUCUCUACUAAAAAAUAAAUAAAUAAAUAAAUAAAUAAUAAAUUAGCCAGGCGUGGUGUCGGGUGCCUGUAGUCCCAGCUACUCGGGAGGCUGAGGCAGGAGAAUGGCGUGAACCUGGGAGCGGAGGUUGCAGUGACCCGAGUUUGCGCCACUGCACUCUAGCCUGGGGGACAGAGCAAGACUCCAUCUUAAAACAAACAAACAAACAAACAAACAAACAAACAAAAAACAGUAUCUUUUGUUAUUCCUGAGAUAAUUCCAAGAGAAGAGGAAUGUUGACUAUAUCCUAUGGCAUCAUUAUUGUUUGUCUGAUUGGACCCAGGCUAGAAAUCUUAAAGAUAUUUGUGAAAAAUAAAGCUCAUAUUCAAGAUGAAACAUUAAACCCCACAGUGAAGGUCAUUC
rnacentral:lncRNA from 1 species